UACGGAGGGUGCAAGCGUUGCUCGGAAUUAUUGGGCGUAAAGGGCAAGUAGGUGGUCUCAUUUGUCAGGGGUGAAAGCCUUGGGCUUAACUCAAGAAGUGCCCCUGAAACGGUGAGACUCGAGUCCUGGAGAGGCGAGUGGAAUACCCGGUGUAGCGGCGAAAUGCGUAGAGAUCGGGUGGAACACCAGAGGCGAAGGCGGCUCGCUGGACAGGCACUGACACUCAACUGCGAAAGCGUGGGGAGCAAACAGG
rnacentral:rRNA from 1 species